rnacentral:rRNA from 1 species
UACGGAGGAUCCGAGCGUUAUCCGGAUUUAUUGGGUUUAAAGGGUGCGCAGGCGGGAAAUUAAGUCGGCGGUGAAAUUUUACGGCUCAACCGUAAAAGUGCCUUCGAUACUGGUUUUCUUGAGUGUAGCUGAAGUAGGCGGAAUUUGUGGUGUAGCGGUGAAAUGCAUAGAUAUCACGAGGAACUCCGAUUGCGCAGGCAGCUUACUAAACUACUACUGACGCUCAGGCACGAAGGCGUGGGGAUCAAACAGGAUUAGAUACCCGCGUAGUCCCUGA